rnacentral:lncRNA from 1 species
AUGUAUUUAAAUUCGGAUUUUCAAGUUUCUAUGUUGAUUCUUUCUUGAAAAUCAAUAGGAUCGUUAGAAGGGGUGCUACCAAAUUAACUAAAAAAAGAAUCCAAUGCACAAUAGUUACAUAUCAUCUAUUCCUUGAUAGCCAAAAGAUGGCAAUUAACACAAUUGAAGCGGAAGCAAAUAUUAACCACAAUACUAAUGGUUUUAGAAUUGAGUUCUGAGAAACAAAAGUGGAAAAAAAAAGAGUUUUGAAUGUAAAUCAAAUUAAAGCGAAGUGCGAAAAUUAAAACAUGAAGUGCGAACCAUGCCAUGAGUUCAGUACUGUGUUGUUGUUGAUCAAAGAGGGAGUUAGUGAAUGCAAUUCGAUCACUGGAGCUGAAGUCGUCAGAGCUAGAGCUUUGUUCAAUUGCAUAAGGAGCGAGAAGAUGAAGAGGGAGAAAAUCCAGCUUGUUAAAUGCAGCUUCAUUUUGAAUUUCCCACCCGGCUCUGAUUCACUGUUAUUAUUAUUUUUACUUUCACCUUCGGUGCUCUCUUGAUUUCACUAUUAAUGUAUAUAUAGGAAAAUUUAAAAAUAAAACGAGGUGGGAUAUUUUCCAUUGUUACUUUAAAAAAUAAACCAAGUGGGGCGCCGUUACAAAAACAAACGAGUGGAAAUAUCAUAAUAAAAAAAUUCCAUAGAUUUUUUAUGUUUUCACUUAUAUAUUUCAAUGUUUAAAAAGUUGUCAUUAAAAUGUGCAACCAAAAUAAGCUCUCACAAUGAUCUACUUUCAUUCUUUUAUUGAAACGAUUUAUAGUCAAAUUAUACUGGUUGAGAAAUUUGAUAACCAAUAAAAAGUAUGGGCAUUACAGGGAUCUAUUCGGGAAAAAUGAAAAAAAUGUAAAAUAUAAAAACUUAGUGGUGCAAUCUAGUUUCUUUUUUGAAGUAGAAUUAUGAUUGUGG